UACGUAGGGUGCGAGCGUUAAUCGGAAUUACUGGGCGUAAAGCGUGCGCAGGCGGUCCGCAAAGUCUGAUGUGAAAGCCCCGGGCUCAACCUGGGAACUGCAUUGGAAACUAACGGGCUCGAGUGUGGCAGAGGGGGGUGGAAUUCCACGUGUAGCAGUGAAAUGCGUAGAGAUGUGGAGGAACACCGAUGGCGAAGGGAGCCCCCUGGGCUAACACUGACGCUCAGGCACGAAAGCGUGGGGAGCAAACAGG
rnacentral:rRNA from 1 species